rnacentral:rRNA from 1 species
UGAGGAACAUGACCUUCGGCGGGGGAGUAGCCGGCCCAACGGCCGGGUAAUACCGCGUACGACCACAUGGGGACAUCCCUGAGUGGUGAAAGCAGCAAUGCGCCGAUGGAGUGCCUCGCGGCCUAUCAGCUAGUUGGUGAGGUAACGGCUCACCAAGGCAACGACGGGUAGCUGGUCUGAGAGGAUGGCCAGCCACAUUGGGACUGAGACACGGCCCAGACCUNUACGGGGA